rnacentral:rRNA from 1 species
UACGGAGGGGGCUAGCGUUGUUCGGAAUUACUGGGCGUAAAGGGCACGUAGGCGGUUUGGUAAGUUAUAGGUGAAAGCCCGGGGCUCAACUCCGGAAGUGCCUAUAAGACUGCAUCGCUUGAACACGGGAGAGGUGAGUGGAAUUCCGAGUGUAGAGGUGAAAUUCGUAGAUAUUCGGAAGAACGCCAGUGGCGAAGGCGGCGCACUGGACCGUUGUUGACGCUGAGGUGCGAAAGCGUGGGGAGCAAACAGG